UACGAAGGGGGGCUAGCGUUGCUCGGAAUUACUGGGCGUAAAGGGCGCGUAGGCGGAUAUUUAAGUUAGAGGUGAAAGCCCAGGGCUCAACCCUGGAAUAGCCUUUAAUACUGGAUAUCUUGAGUUCGGGAGAGGUGAGUGGAACUGCGAGUGUAGAGGUGAAAUUCGUAGAUAUUCGGAAGAACACCCGUGGCGAAGGCGGCACUCUGGGACGGUACUGACGCUGAGACGCGAAAGCGUGGGGAGCGAACAGG
rnacentral:rRNA from 1 species